rnacentral:tRNA from 1 species
UGGUCCAUAGCUCAGACAGGUAGAGCGCGAGAUUUGAGGUCUCGAGUCGAAGGUUCGAAUCCUUCUGGCCCAG